rnacentral:rRNA from 1 species
AGAGUUUGAUCAUGGCUCAGGACUAACGCUGGCGGCGUGCCUAACGCAUGCAAGUCGAACGGUGAAGCAGGGCUUGCCCUGUGGAUCAGUGGCGUACGGGUGAGUAACGCGUAGGUAACGUUCCCUUCCGCUGGGGAUAACCACUCGAAAGGGUGGCUAAUACCGAAUACAUUCGCAUUUUAUUAUUUUGCGAAGAAAGUGCCUUCGGGUGCGUGGAGGGAUCGGCCUGCGUCCUAUUAGCUAGUUGGUGUGGUAACGGCGCACCAAGGCGACGAUGGGUAGCUGGUCUGAGAGGAUGAUCAGCCACACUGGGACUGAGACACGGCCCAGACUCCUACGGGAGGCAGCAGCGAGGAAUAUUGCGCAAUGGGGGAAACCCUGACGCAGCGACGCCGCGUGGACGAAGACGGCCUUCGGGUUGUAAAGUCCUGUCAGUGGGGACGAUAAUGACGGUACCCGCUGAGGAAGCUCCGGCUGACUCCGUGCCAGCAGCCGCGGUAAGACGGAGGGAGCAAGCGUUGUCCGGAAUAACUGGGCGUAAAGAGCUCGUAGGCGGGAAUUUAAGUCUGAGAGUAAAUCC